rnacentral:lncRNA from 1 species
AUGGGGCAAAUAACUUCCCCUUUCAUCUUUCCAGCUAGCUCUGGAGGCUGGGCUGGAAUACCCAGUGGCCACCACUUUGAGUGGCAGGUACCUCCUCCAGACUGGCCUUCCUUGGGGCUGAGGCUUGAAAACCCCAGGGUGGCACCACUCCCUGAUCCAGAGGCUUGUUUGGGUGGGGGCCCUCCAGAGGGGCAACCUACUGCACACCCUCCAGGAACCGUGAGUUGGGAGGAGGGUAGUUCAAACCACCUCCACCAAGCCGGCCAUGUGCAAGUCCCGGACGGGCCUCCCCGCCGCAAACAGCACACGAGUAAAGGUACUACCACUAAGACCUCAUUACCUACAGUUGCAACAGAAGAGAGAGGUUGUUGGAGCACCUGUGUGUCUCAGUCGGUAAAGCAUCUGACUCUUGACUUCGGCUCAGGUCAUGAGCUCAUGGUUCGUGGCUUCAAGCCCCACAUUGGACUUCACGCUAACAGUGCAGGGCCUGCUUGGAACUCUCUCUCUCUACUCUCUCUCUCUCCAUGCCUCUCUCUCACUCUCUCUCAAAAUAAGUAAAUAAACUUUUAAAAGAAGAAAGAGAGGUUGUGGAAAAAAACAGUGAACCAGGAGAGAGUUGGGCUCCUGCCUAACUAAAGCUAACACCCUGUGUGAUCUUAGGAAAACUGACACCUUCUCUGAGCCUCACUUUUUUUGGCCAAUAACAGAUAUACUGAAUUUUGUUACAUCGACAAUGAAAGAAUGCCCACCUCCUCGGGGCUUGGGAGAAUCACAGGGGCAAAAAACUGCUUUAUGACCGUAUCAUGCUAUGUACGCACAAGGGGUUACAACUGUUAUUAUUUUUACUGUUUUGGCCUAUGUCCCCUUCUAAAACUAGCUUCUUCCUUUCAAGAACCUAGUUCAGGCAAGAUUUUUUUCCCCCUGAAGAGACCCCUGGAUCCACACCUGUCGGCCUCAGGGUGACCCUCUGCUGGGCUCUGCCUGGAUGCUUUCCAACAGCGACACGGAGUUCCAUCCGGGUGUCCUUCCAAGGCUUCUCUCCCAGUCCCUCUUUGUGUCCUUCCCACCAAACUUCGUCCACAGUGCCGCCCACCCAGCCUGAAUAGGGACACUUUUGUGACGGCCAUGGCUUCUCCUCCAUCUUUUGUCCUUUCUGAGGAGGCAGGGAGCUCAAAACCACCCAGCCAUUAAGUGAAGCCACCAUGUGCUAAGUCCCUGCACCGUCUUCUCAUUUACCCUUGAAAACCCAGGGGACCGUCCUCCUCAGUUCACAUUUAUUUCACCUGUUCUGGGGCAGGGCCACACCAGCCCGAAGCUGUCUGCAGCCUCUGGCCCUCCCACCUACCCUGGUCUCCACCUCCCUCUCUUGCGGGCCUGGGCCAGGUUCUGAGAAUCUUUGUCAGGCCUAAGAGAGAGCUUCUGCAGAUGUCCCCAGUUGCUGCUGUCACUCUGGGAGAGCCGUCUGGCUGGGUGCAGGGAGAAGGACAAAACAGGUGUGGCUGCCAGGGAGGGCAGGCCAGCAGGGCCACGGGGACAGAAACAGCCUUUCUUCACAGAGCCCAGGCUCUCAGCACAGUGCCGUGCCUUCUGCAGGGCCAGCCCCACACAGACUUCAUCACUGACAGCUCUCUGGAGCUCAGCCUCCCCACCCGGUGGCAGUGGGCCAGGAGGAAUGGGACCCACAAGGUCUAGUGCAUGCGACGGGGCAUGCUUUAGAGCAUUCUUUUUAAGUGAAAACAAAUACUGAUACAUCAUGGACUAGAAUCCCAAAU